AUUGUUCAUUUGAUAUCAGUAAUUCGGCAUUUUAAUUAUUAUCGUUAUUAAUUAGCCUAAAGCUAUUAUGCAUGGAUUAAUAGGAAGACCCUAAUGGGGAAGCUGAACUAUAUUGUAUUUCGAUCAGUUGAACUGAAUGUGUCUUUAGCAAUUUAAAGUGGUCUUUUUCUAUGGCUUUUUGUUGACUUUGUCAGAGUGCUUGACACAAUAGCCCGUAGCAGUGGGGCCACUUAUGGUUACAUGGUCAAAUUAAGACAGCCAUUCUUAUAACAGGAAGCAUUGGCAUACAUCAGGUUUUAUUUUAAUGGAGCCAAUUGUUGGGCUUUCCGCUCUUAGAGUGUAGUUUAAAACUGCCUCUGUAUUGUUUACAGUGUGUGGUAUAAAUAUUGAAUUCAGAAAUCAGUAGUUCCAAGAAUAAUGAUUAGAUGUUGGAGGUUUGGCCUUGUUUGUUUUCAUAAGGUGGGGAAAAGGGAUGGAAUUUAUACAGGCAUGAAUACAAAAGUAAAAUGAGAAGAUCUUGCUCUUAAAAAUAGUGCUGUUUUGUGAUGUUUAUGUAGCUGUGUUUCUAUUUCAGACUCCGGUCAAUAUCAGAAUUAGAGUCAGUGAGUUUAAAACUCUUGGCUUGAACAGAUUUGGACAUAUGGUUCAAAUGAUUAAAGUUAAUAAGAAGAGCUCUUGAUAAUCAAUGAAUGGCCGUUCAGAUGUUGUCAAUAGGCACUGAUCGUGUACUUUUGGUGGUUUCUGUGUUUAUAUGAAAUUUGUUUUAAUUAGAUAUUACAUCAGUCUAAUUAAUUGAAAAAAAUUAUGCCGAAUAAUGAAAUUAAAAUGUUUUUUUUUUCUCUGACAUAUAUGAUUUAUUGUUUCAUUUUAAUAGAAUUAAAAUGGUUAUUUUCUCCAAUAUUUAUGAUUUAUUGUUCCAUCAUAUUAAAUUUGAUAAAAUUAUGCAUACAUGAUAAGCAUACCUCAAAGAGAAUUAUUAAAGCAGAAUACUUGUUUUUUUUUUAAAUUGUUUCAUUUUCUAAAUAAUAUCAUAUUUAUAUUUAUGCAUUAACUGAAUGAACAGUAUUUUAUAUUUUGAAUUUAAUUCUUUUUAAAGGCAUGAUCUCUCUUGAAUGAAUUAAAUGAAGAUUUGU
rnacentral:sRNA from 1 species